rnacentral:rRNA from 1 species
CCCUUAGAUGUCCUGGGCCGCACGCGCACUACACUGAUGCAUUCAACGAGUAUUUCCUUGGCCGAGAGGCCUGGGCAAUCUUUUAAACCUGCAUCGUGAUAGGGAUAGAUUAUUGCAAUUAUUAAUCUUGAACGAGGAAUUCCUAGUAAACGCAAAUCAUCAAUUUGCAUUGAUUACGUCCCUGCCCUUUGUACACACCGCCCGUCGCACCUACCGAUUGAAUGGUCCGGUGAAAUCUCGGGAUUGUGGCCAGUUCACUUUAUUGGGAGUUGGCUGCGAGAACUUGCUUAAACCUUAUCAUUUAGAGGAAGGUGAAGUCGUAACA